CUGCGAUGAUGACUUUCUUAGGACACCUUUGGAUAAAUCAUGAAAAUAUCGACACUCUGAGCAGC
rnacentral:snoRNA from 1 species